UGUUUCGUUCUUUUAUGCGCUAUAGAAAUUUCGUUAGCCGAUCUGGCUAUAGAAGAUGCUCCGGCAAGCCGUAAGUUAGUAGCCAAAGGUUUUAGCUGUUUUAAAGUAGCAAUCGGUCCAAUGAGAGAUGGUCAGGUCUUUGAUAAUUAUAGCCAAGAAAUUUGCGGAACAGUUACAUGUAAUACUGGAUAUUUAACGUAUGAAACCUGUUCUCGGUAUGUUGAUGAGGGUCAACCUAUGAAUCCAGAAGAUCCAUCAAAACCUUUUCCAGAAUGUUGUAAUUAUCCAUUCUAAUUUAUUGAAAUUUACUGAAUAAAGAAAACUUAUUGCAACGAAAAA